GACGAACGCUGGCGGCGUGCUUAACACAUGCAAGUCGAACGGAAAGGCCCUGCUUUUGUGGGGUGCUCGAGUGGCGAACGGGUGAGUAACACGUGAGUAACCUGCCCUUGACUUUGGGAUAACUUCAGGAAACUGGGGCUAAUACCGGAUAGGAGCUCCUGCUGCAUGGGGGGGGUUGGAAAGUUUCGGCGGUUGGGGAUGGACUAGCGGCUUAUCAGCUGGUUGGUGGGGUAGUGGCUUACCAAGGCUUUGACGGGUAGCCGGCCUGAGAGGGUGACCGGCCACAUUGGGACUGAGAUACGGCCCAGACUCCUACGGGAGGCAGCAGUGGGGAAUAUUGCACAAUGGGCGGAAGCCUGAUGCAGCAACGCCGCGUGCGGGAUGACGGCCUUCGGGUUGUAAACCGCUUUCGCCUGUGACGAAGCGUGAGUGACGGUAAUGGGUAAAGAAGCACCGGCUAACUACGUG
rnacentral:rRNA from 1 species